AUGCAGGCGGAGGGUGGUGGCCUUGGUUUCCUCUUCCUGUCGGGCUACUGCAUCCAAUUAUGGAAGAGGAAGACGGACUGGGAUGGUGUAGCUUCAUGGGUGCUGGGAAGAACUGUUGCACUAGACAAGCUACUUUCCAUGAACUCGGAGGAGGGGAGCCAAAGCCCAAGGAUACUCUGGUUUGCUGAGGACAAUAAUGCGGUGUUAGUGCGGACAUUUAUCGGUGUCUUCAUGGUCCAGUUUGAAUCAUUGCAGUUUAAGAAACUUUUUGAAUCCUACAGCUGGUUUCACUUUUAUCCAUUUGAAGGUGUCUAUACCGCAGAUGCUCGCAUUGAUGGUGGACACGGUGGAGCUAAACUUUUGCGCGAUACAUAA
rnacentral:rRNA from 1 species